rnacentral:rRNA from 1 species
AUUGAACGCUGGCGGCAGGCCUAACACAUGCAAGUCGAGCGGAUGAAGGGAGCUUGCUCCUGGAUUCAGCGGCGGACGGGUGAGUAAUGCCUAGGAAUCUGCCUGGUAGUGGGGGACAACGUCCGGAAACGGGCGCUAAUACCGCAUACGUCCUGAGGGAGAAAGUGGGGGAUCUUCGGACCUCACGCUAUCAGAUGAGCCUAGGUCGGAUUAGCUAGUUGGUGGGGUAAAGGCCUACCAAGGCGACGAUCCGUAACUGGUCUGAGAGGAUGAUCAGUCACACUGGAACUGAGACACGGUCCAGACUCCUACGGGAGGCAGCAGUGGGGAAUAUUGGACAAUGGGCGAAGGCCUGAUCCAGCCAUGCCGCGUGUGUGAAGAAGGUCUUCGGAUUGUAAAGCACUUUAAGUUGGGAGGAAGGGCAGUAAGUUAAUACCUUGCUGUUUUGACGUUACCAACAGAAUAAGCACCGGCUAACUUCGUG